CAGCUAGGGAAAGGUUGGUCCUCUCACACAGAGCCCCGCAUGUGUGGGUAAGGCUGAUACAAUGAGGUGCGCCUGUUGCCUCAAGUGACCUCAUCACGCGAUCCAGGUAGUGAAACCAAGAUCCCCGUGCCCCCUGCAGCACCUAUCUUGAGGCCGAAGCCACGUGAGUCGUUGCACUGCAGGCGGUUUGCGGU
rnacentral:lncRNA from 1 species